AGACAAUAUAAUAAUAUAUCUGUAUAUAAAAACCAGACAAACGUGACGGGGGAGCUAACCGGAGCUAGCUAGCUAUUCCUUACAGCCCCACGAAGUAUAUUCCUCUUACCCCAACCAGGUGUCUUCGGGGACAAACCAUAUUUGGAACUUCCAUCAACUUCCGUCACGGUCUGCAGGCUGCAGCUGGAUAUACUUGGUCAGGUUAGCUCCGAGCUUCCUGUUUCUGCUGUUGCUGCUGCGUAGUGUGGCUGUGUCUCGCUGCUGUGUCCUGUCGUCCGAGAUUGACGCGCCGUGUGGUCCGUGCGGUGUUGGCGACGUCUUUGGGAAAGACGGCCCGUGAAGCACGUGAAUGUUUACAGAGAUUCGGAGGUGCGUGAACAACUAAGGUACUCUUGAUGUAUAUUUAAUUAUAUAAGGACAAACACUAACCACGUUUUUUUUGGUAUUCAUGCAGCACAGAUUGCCCCUGCUGCUUUGCCUAGUCUUUAAUGUUAACCUACCUGUUUUAUUAUUUUAAACUUUUUUUUUUUUAAUUGAAUUCUGUUUCUUUUUUAUUAAUGGUGACGAUCUGUUUUAUAGUGUGUGGGUAGAUUGUAUUUCUUUUAAUAUUGUGUUUC